CCCUCUCUUCGAUCGCUCUCCUAGCUCCACCGACUAGCGCGGCGAGCCACCACCGACCAGCGCGCGAUCAAGAGCAGCAUCACCUUCCUUGACACCUCCGAUUGCUACAGUCCAGACACCAAUGAAGUACUCCUCCGUAAGCUCUUAUUUUUCCGACUGCCUCAUCUACCACCAUGUAUUCAAUUAAGCCAAAAUAUUCCCAAACCGGAAAGAGCAAAUCCACCCACGCAUUAUUUUCGAGUUCAAUUGAUCUAAGGAAGCGACUUUUUAACACACGUCUCCCCCAUCCUCCACCCACACCACCGCUCACCUUGCCCCUGAUCAAAGACAAAGAACCUCCCCUUGCAGCAGUAGGCCAGUCCACCGAUGACCACCGACAUCAUCCCAUCACCACCAUGGAGUGAUUCGGCCCCUCUUCUUUUCUGUCCUCCAUCUCCUCUAGCGAAAUCACGGCAACGAUAACAACCAGGGAUGUGGAGAUAUGGAAGGUUUCGAAUGGGGAAGGCAUGUAUGGGUAUAUUGGCUAUGAGGCUGCCCUUUUUGAUGGCACUUAAAAAAUGCUUUUUGAAAAACUAGUGAUUCUACAUUCCAAUAAUUGCAUAUUGUGGUUCAACGUGAAAUUGAGUACUUGCAAUGCUCCAAGGGUAAUCAAGAAGCUGUUGGCUUUGGUGGUGUGGUUAUGGAUGACAAAGGAGCAUGGAAUUCA